CCCUCACAGCUAUUAUAUACUUGAUCUUGAUAUCCUACGGUGGAUAACUGUGGUAAUUCUAGAGCUAAUACAUGCACCAAAGCUCCGAAUCUUUGACGAGCGCAUCUAUUAGAUUAAAACCAAUCGGGUUUCGGCCCGUUUGUUGGUGACUCUGAAUAACUAUAGCUGAUCGCAUGGUCUAGAACCGGCGACGUGUCUAUCAAGUGUCUGCCUUAUCAACUGUCGAUGGUAGUUUAUGUGCCUACCAUGGUUGUAACGGGUAACGGAGAAUAAGGGUUCGACUCCGGAGAGGGAGCCUGAGAAACGGCUACCACAUCCAAGGAAGGCAGCAGGCGCGCAAAUUACCCACUCUCGGCAUGAGGAGGUAGUGACGAAAAAUAACGGGACCGUACUCUUUGAGGCCGGUUAUCGGAAUGGGUACAAUUUAAACCCGUUAACGAGGAUCUAUGAGAGGGCAAGUCUGGUGCCAGCAGCCGCGGUAAUUCCAGCUCUCAAAGUGUAUAUCGUCAUUGCUGCGGUUAAAAAGCUCGUAGUUGGAUCUGCGCCUCAGGACCUGGUCCGCCCACUUGGCGAGAACUGGGCUCCUGGGCUAGUUCUGCUGGUUUUCCCUGCGUUGCCUUCAUCGGUAGCGUAGGGUGGCUAGCGAGUUUACUUUGAAAAAAUUAGAGUGCUUCACGCGGGCUUAUGUCUGAAUACUCGUGCAUGGAAUAAUAGAAUAGGAUCUCGGCUCUAUUUUGUUGGUUUUCUGAUCUGAGAUAAUGGUUAAGAGGGACGGACGGGGGCAUUCGUAUCGCUGCGUGAGAGGUGAAAUUCUUGGACCGUAGCGAGACGUCCGACUGCGAAAGCAUUUGCCAAGAAUGUCUUCAUUAAUCAAGAACGAUAGUGCGAGGUAGG
rnacentral:rRNA from 1 species